GACGAACGCUGGCGGCGCGCUUAACACAUGCAAGUCGAACGGAAAGGCCUGCUUUCCCUUGUGGAUUGCGGGUACUCGAGUGGCUAACGGGUGAGUAACACGUGAGUGAUCUGCCCCCAACUUGGGUAUAAGCCUGGGAAACUGGGUCUAAUUCCCGAUAGGACUGCAGGGUGGUGCCUGUGAUGGAAAACGAUUUGCUAGUGGUUGGGGAUGAGCUCGCGGCCUAUCAGCUUGUUGGUGGGGUAGUGGCCUACCAAGGCGGCUACGGGUAGCCGGCCGGGGAGGGUGGACGGCCACAUUGGGACUGAGAUACGGCCCCGACGCCUACGGGCGGCAGCAGUGCGGACGAAUGCGCAAUGGGCGGAAGCCUGAUGCAGCGACGCCGCGAGGGGGAUGACGGCCUUCGAGUUGUAAACUCCUUGCGACCGCGAGGAAGCCACCUGGUUGGAAGGGUGGUGACGGUAGUGGUAGAAGAAGCACCGGCUAACUACGUG
rnacentral:rRNA from 1 species